GUGAGACAGUUAAAUGACCGUUAGCUGUCUUAAAAUCUGGCUAUUUGCUGGAAAAUCCCGUGCAUCUGAAGAUACUGAACUAAAGUCAAAAGGCAAAAGUUUAGUAAUAAUUCUUCAGUGGGGACAAUCAGCAGGGAAGAUCUAAAAAUCUUUUAGAUUCCCUCAGAGACUGUACGCCGGAAUUCGCCAACAGGCGGAUAUGAUACAGUCCGAACUGCAUAGCGAUAUGCAG
rnacentral:ncRNA from 1 species